rnacentral:rRNA from 2 species
UACGUAGGGUCCAAGCGUUAAUCGGAAUUACUGGGCGUAAAGCGUGCGCAGGUGGUUUGUUAAGCACGAUGUGAAAUCCCCGAGCUCAACUUGGGAAUUGCAUUGUGAACUGGCUAACUAGAGUACGGCAGAGGGGGGUGGAAUUCCACGUGUAGCAGUGAAAUGCGUAGAGAUGUGGAGGAACACCGAUGGCGAAGGCAACCCCCUGGGCUGAUACUGACACUCAUGCACGAAAGCGUGGGGAGCAAACAGG